rnacentral:rRNA from 1 species
GAUCCUGGCUCAGGAUAAACGCUGGCGGCGUGCUUAACACAUCCAAGUCGAACGGAGUAUGUUUGGAAGCUUGCUUUUGGACAUACUUAGUGGCGGACGGGUGAGUAAUGCAUGAGCAACCUGCCUUCAAGAGGGGGAUAACACAUGGAAACGUGUGCUAAUACCGCAUAGACGUACGGACGGCAUCGUUUGUACGGGAAAGGAGUAAUCCGCUUGAAGAUGGGCUCAUGUCCGAUUAGGUUG